CCUACGGGUGGCAGCAGUGGGGAAUAUUGGACAAUGGGCGGAACCCUGAUCCAGCGACGCCGCGUGAGUGAUGACGUCUUUAGGUAUGUAAAGCUCUAUCUGCAUGGAAGAAAAUGACGGUACCUGUCUCCUAAGCUCCGGCUAAAUACGUGCAAGCAGACGCGGCACUACGUAGGGGGCAGGCGUGAUCCGGAUUUACUGGGGGUAAAGGGAGCGUAGACGGUGCGGCAAGUAUGAUGUGAAAGGUGGCGGCCCAACCCCGGGAGUGCAUUGGAAACUGUUGAACUUGAGUACAGGAGAGGUAAGCGGAAUGCGUGGUGUAGCGGUGAAAUGCGUAGAUAUUAGGAAGAACACCAGUUGCGAAGGCAGCUCACUGGACUGUAACUGACGUUGAGGCUCGAAAGUGUGGGGAGCAAACAGGAUUAGAUACCCCAGUAGUC
rnacentral:rRNA from 1 species